AGUUCCUUGAAAGUUUUUUUUUUCUUGUUUUGAGAGGGGCAUUUUUUCCAGUGCAGUAGCGAGGUCUGCUCAGGAGAAUUAAACAAAUCCACAUGAAGGUUUUUUUUUUUUUUUGCUGCACCAACACAGUAAUGGAUAUGUUGGUGCAUGUGCCCUCCAGCAGAUUGAGGAAUGCUCAGUAAACCUUAACUGUACACAACAGUCAGUGGAUAAUGAGAGGAGCGCUCUUACAUUACACAUACUGUAUGUCACUCACAAUGCGAUACCAAAACACUCCCAGGACCCGGGUCUGAAACGCUGCAAAGCUCUCGCUGUGUUUGUUCCAGCUGAACCCAAGCUUACUAAGUAAAUAGGAAUGCUGCGCACAGAAACACACUGACAUUUGCCAGAUGCUCGAUGCUAAUUAGGGCCAAGUAUUCCCCCUCGGAUGGAGUGUGUGAGAAACCGUGUAAGUGCACUGCUGGCCGACCUGUAAGACCUGACUGUGUUUGUGCUCUGCAUGCUUGAACAUAAACUCAGGAUUGUUAUUCAGAGCAGGAGUUUGUUAGUUCAGUUUUUGUACGAGGAGAACAACACGAAUUCCAGUUCUCUUUAAGGUAUGUUUCAAUUUGGGACUAAAAUCUCUGUUAAUUUGGAGUCUAAAUAAACAGUUUUCACUGAGUGCUAAAAGCUCAGGAUCUCCCACAAACUCCACUUAUAUGCAUGAACAGAUAUUGCUCUGCUCCUUGACUCUGUCAUUUACAUUUUUGCAGAUGGGUGCUGCCAGUGUGGGUGAGCUGCAGCCAAACACAGGUGCUGAGAGGCAAAAUGCUUUGUUGCUCCCAGUUAGCAGCUUACCGUCGACACACGAUACCUUUCAGUUAUAGCAUCCAUCAUUUAUCAUCUUGCCCCCACAUUCAAGUCUACGCCUCCAACUGUGACCUGACUGUGGACCUGUUCCUCUGUCCCCAGAAUGGCGGUGCAUUAAGCAGGAAGUGAAAGGAGACCUGAGAGCUCCCGCCACCCACAGGCCCACCCUUUACCUCUCCUCACCCGGCUCUCCCAGCUCUGUGUCCUGGCUCCUGUCCAGGUUCUGGAGCUGUGAUGGGGAAGGGUCACGGUUCGCGUCUGACCCCAGGCCUGCAUCUUGGAUGUUGUUAUUAUUAGAGCUCCGUGCCCCCCGGGCGGGCCGUCCCCGACGCAGGAGGAGGAACUGCUGGGCUCUGGAGAGGCUCUAGACCUGGAGAACAGCUGUGCGGGUUAGAGGCUGCUGGGGCCCCCCUGGGAGGGGGGUUCCUGCACCGACCCGCCAGGAGAUGUGCAUUGAGGGUCCUGACCGACGGUUCGGGAAACACUGUAUUAGACUGAGCACAUAAUGACCCCAGACUAAGUGACGACAGGCGCUGUAUCCGACCAGGACGACCACGUAGAAAUUAAAGCUGAGGAUCUGAUUCAGCGUCUCUUUCUGCUGUCCGGAGACG